rnacentral:lncRNA from 1 species
UCUCCCUCCAUUCUCCUUCCCUUUUUUCACCCAUUCAUCCAUCUCCUCCCCUUCCACCCCAUUCACUUCUCCUCUUCAUCCUCCUCCUCCAAGCCGCCCACAAACUAUCUUCCUUAACGACAGCCUCCUCUACCUCUAUCCCUUUUUGCCUUCUUUAUUUUUUUUCUCCUCAUUCUCUUCUCCUCCUUGUCCUCCUCUUCCACCCAAUUCAUUAUCGGCGGCCCCUCUUCCCUUCUCUUCUUUUGCCUUAUUCUCUUUCUCUUCUUUAUCCUCUUUCUCCUCCAAACCAACGCAUGAGUC